rnacentral:misc_RNA from 1 species
GAUGAAGAACGCAGCGAAAUGCGAUAGGUAGUGUGAAUUGCAGAUGUAACGUGAAUCAUCGAAUCUUUGAACGCAAAUUGCACUCUCUGGUAUUCCGGGGAGUAUGCCUGUUUGAGGGUCGCCAAAUCAACAUCGAAAUUCAUUUGCUUUUGUAAAUGUUUAUCGGAUUUGAGCCGUCUUUUUUUAUUUUAAUUAAAGUGGCUUAAAAUGUAUUUUUUUGGUAUCGAAAAACGUUAUUUUACGAUCAAAUUGAUUAAAAAAACAAACGUUUUCGAAUGCCGCCUUUUUAAUGUAAUACGUUUGACUGUGAUGGUUAAUCAUAGUUUCAUUCGUAUACGAUUUUUUAAUUUGACCUCAAAUCAGGUAAGAACACCCGCUGAACUUAAGCAUAUCAAUAAGCGGAGGA